rnacentral:rRNA from 1 species
AGGGAGUUUGAUCCUGGCUCAGGAUGAACGCUAGCGGCAGGCUUAACACAUGCAAGUCGAGGGGCAGCGGGUCGUAGCAAUACGAUGCCGGCGACCGGCGCAAGGGUGCGUAACGCGUGAGCAAUCUGCCCGUAACAGGGGUAUAACGGAGGGAAACUUCCACUAAUCCCCCAUAUUGUUGGAGAUUCGCAUGUUUCUCCAACGAAAGGUUUUUCUGGUUACGGAUGGGCAUGCGUGACAUUAGCUAGUUGGUGGGGCAACGGCCCACCAAGGCGACGAUGUCUAGGGGAGCUGAGAGGCUUAUCCCCCACACUGGUACUGAGACACGGACCAGACUCCUACGGGAGGCAGCAGUGAGGAAUAUUGGUCAAUGGAGGGAACUCUGAACCAGCCAUGCCGCGUGGAGGAAGAAGGUCCUAUGGGUUGUAAACUCCUUUUGUUCCGGAGUAAUAAGUGCCUUGCGAGGCACGAUGAGAGUACGGGACGAAUAAGCAUCGGCUAACUCCGUGCCAGCAGCCGCGGUAAUACGGAGGAUGCAAGCGUUAUCCGGAUUUAUUGGGUUUAAAGGGUGCGCAGGCGGCCUGGCAAGUCAGCGGUGAAAGCCCGGGGCCCAACCCCGGAAGUGCCGUUGAUACUGUUGGGCUCGAAUGCGGUCGAGGCGGGCGGAACGUGGCGUGUAGCGGUGAAAUGCGUAGAUAUGCCACAGAACGCCGAUAGCGAAGGCAGCUCGCCAGGCCUGCAUUGACGCUCGGGCACGAAAGCGUGGGGAUCGAACAGGAUUAGAUACCCUGGUAGUCCCCU